AUGAGCACUGGUACCUUCUCUGUGUCACAGCUGCUCAACUACUGCAGCCGGGCCCCUGUGGAGCUGGUGGAUCCUUCUGGCACAGAGAAAGCAUUCGAGCCAGCCACAGGUCUGGAAAGUGAUAGCUACUUUCACAUGUUGAAGAAUAAAGGAAGUAAAUUUGGCUGUUGAAAAAUACAAAGGCUGCCUUUAAAAUCUGGAGUAAUGAAAGUGAAGAGAGCUGUCAAGUCCUCUUAGAGGCUGCCUGGAUCAUCAGGGAGCGGAAGGAUGAAACUGCCACUGUGGAGACCAUCAACAAUGGGAAGGCCAUAUUUGAGGUCCGCUGGGAUGUUGACACUUGCUGGCAGUGCCUGGCUGCAUCUAUGGCAGGAGAGCACAUCCAGCUCCCAGGAGGGUCCUUCGGCUACACCCGAAGAGAACCACUUGGGGUGUGUGUGUGUGUGUGUGGGGGAGGGAUAGGAGCAUGGAACUACCCCUUCCAAUUGCCUGUUGGAAGUCUGCUCUGCCUUUGACAUGUGGUCAUGCCAUGAUCUUCAAUGCCUUGAAGGUAAUGCCUUGACCCUUCACUCCUGUGUCUGCUGUGCUCCUGGCUGAGAUGUACACCAAACUGGUGUGCCUCCCGGGCUCUUCAACGUGGUGCAAGGUGGGGCUGCCACAGGCCAAUUCCUGUGUCAGCAUCGUGAUGUGGCCAAAAUCUCCUUCACUGGAAGUGUUCCCACUGGCAGGAAGAUCAUGGAGAUGUCCGCUAAAGGAGUCGAACCCACUACUUUGGAACUUGGGGGCAAAUCUCCUCUCAUCAUAUUCUCACACUGUAAUAUGGAGAAUGCUGUGAAGGGGGCCCUCAUGGCUAACUUCUUCACAAAAGGACAGGUCUGCUGUAAUGGCACUAGAGUCUCUUUGCAAAAGGAAAUUGUGGAUACAUUUUCAAAAGAGGUUGUGAAGUAGACUCAGAAGAUAAAACUCGGAGACCCACUUCUGGAAGAUACAAGGAUGGGCCCACUCAUCAAAGGCCCGAAUCCGGAACGAGUCCUCGGGUUUGUCAAGUGGGCAAAGGAGUAGGGUACUACUAUGCUGUGUGGUGGAGAGCUGUAUGUCCCGAGGAUCCUAAAUUAAAACAUGGAUAUUACAUGACACUGUGCAUUUUAGCUAAUUGAGGAGAUGACAUGGCUUGUGUAAAAGAUCUUUGGACCAGUUAUAUCCAUUUUAACAUUUGAAACUGAAGCCGAGGUUCUGGAGGGGGCCGAUGACACCACUUUUGGAUUAGGAGCUGGGGUCUUUAGCAGGGACAUCCAGAGGGCUCACAGGGUGGCAGGCUGGAACAUGCUACAUUAACAACUACAAUGUCAGCCUGGUGGAGCUGCCCUUUGGUGGCUACAAGAAGUCAGGAUUUGGCAGACAGAAUGGCUGUGUGACAAUUGAGUACCAUUCACAGCUGAAGACGGUGUGUGUGAGGAUGAGAGAUGUGGAGUCAGCCUUUUAA